UAAAUAUACAGAGUGGUCGUAGAUAUAUAGAGUGGUAGGUUAAAAACAGAGUGGUGAAAGAUAUACAGAAGGGUGAUAGAUAUACAGAUGGGUGGUAGAUAUACAGAGUGGUGAUAGAUAUACAGAGUGUUGAUAUAUAUAUAUAUUGAGUGGUGGUAGAUAUACAGGGUGGUGAUAAAUAUACAGAGUGGUGAUAAAUAUACAGAGUGGUGAUAGAUAUAUAGAAUGGUGGAAGAUAUACAGAUUGGUGAUACAUAUACAGAGCGGGGA
rnacentral:lncRNA from 1 species